ensembl:ncRNA Y66D12A.27 ncRNA
UUUAGGCUUAGGCUUAGGCUUAGGUUUCAGGCUUAGACUUGGGCUUAGGCUGAGGCUAUGGCUUAGGCUCAGGCUUAAGCUUAGGCCUAGGUUUAGUCUCAGGCUCAGGCUUAGGCUUAGGCGUAUGCUUAGGCUUAGUCUUAGACUUAAACUUAGACUUAGGCUUAGGUUGAGACUUAGGACUAAGCUUAG